rnacentral:tRNA from 1 species
GGGGCUAUAGCUCAGCAAGGUAGAGCACCUCGUUUACACACCGAGAAGGUCUACGGUUCGAGCCCGUAUAGCCCUA